AUAUAUUGAAAGGGGUUACACAGCUCUAUAGAUUCAUAUGCUACUCACACAACCUGGAAAACGUUGUAGCCCCUCCUGAAGGAAGGACAGCCAUGUUCCUGAAUAGCACAACUUCUAACCUCACUUGGAAAUAGGUACCUGGCUUUAAUUUUCAGGCUCCCUUAAUAAUAUUGAGGUUCACUUUCUUAUGCGACUUUCUCAGCCCUCUUUGGUAAAAUCCCUCAACAGAUUAAGCCUGUUUACACAUGCUUUCCAAUGCUGUUUGUGUGUGUGUGUGUGUGUGUGCACGUGCACAUGUGUGCACAUGCUGGUGGGUAUCCUGUCCCUCUUCCUCCCUUCUUGCUCACACACACACACUCAGGCACACACUCUGAAGGCAGUAUAUAUCAGAGUUGAAAGCACUGACCUUGGAAUACUGAGCUGCUUAGUAGCAGUGUGCCUCACUUUCUUGUUUUGCCCACCUGGGUGACGAUGGGAAUUAAAUGCAUUCGGAGUGCUUGGCACACGGCAUGUGGCAUUUGAGGCUCACAGGUAUGUGAGCAUUAGUGACUUUUAUAAUUAAGGACCAUUCCCCUUUAAUAUGCAUCUUACAUCCUUGCUAUACGGUUUAUUUAUUCCAGCUCUCUGUCUCUGUCUCUGUCUCUGUCUCUGUCUCUGUCUCUGUCUCUGUCUCUGUCUCUGUCUCUGGGCAUGCCUGGAAUUUCCUUCUGCUUUUCUAGUUUUUGCUUUGUCUAGUCUUGUUUUGAGACAGGGUCUUCCUAUUAGCCUGGCCAAGCUGGCUUGGUACUUGGAUUCUCCUGCCUCAGACCCCUGGGAGCUAGGAUCAUGAUAUACCAAACGUGCUUUCAGCCCUUCAGUUCUUGCAGAAUGUCUCCUCAUCCUUAACAACGAAUCCUAGACAUUCCCUCCCAUAGAAAGCCUUUCUUAAUCUUUGUUUUGUUUUGUUUUCACUUGAUAUGUCUGAAUGCUUUGCCUAUGCGCACCACAUGAGUGCCCCGUGCUUAAAGAGGUCAGAAGAGAGUAUCUGGUUUCUUGGACUGGAAUUAAAGAUAGCUGAGAGCUGCCAUGUAGGCGCUGGAAACCAACACCUGGGUCCUCCACAAGAGCCAUAAGUAUUUUUAACUGCAGAGUCAUCCCUCUAGCCCCAGAAGACUCUUUCUUAGUGAACUCACUGGCACUCCCCUGUGGACGCUCACAGUAACCUUUUGAUGGCUUGUUUUGUUUUGUUGAGACAGGGUCUCACUUUGUAGUCCAGGCUGACCUCAACUUUGUGGCAAUCUUAUCUCCCCAAGUGCUGGGAUGACAGACACAAGCCACCAUGUCUGUCUCUUUCCACCGAAGCAGAAUGCUUGGGAGGUGAUAUCUGUUUACUUGCCUGUCUCCAUAAUGGACUGUAGGAGAAUGACCAAACUAAACCUUGUGACUCUAGUAGCUCUUGUUGGCUUGCUAUACAGUGUUGUUCAGGUCAGUGGUUAUUGAGCAGAGCACUGAUAGUACGCAGAAUGGGCAGCUAACAAAGUAACAGACUCAUGGAUUUCCCAGUAUCAUCCUGACCUGGCCAGGGCUGAACAGAACUACUGAAGUUGAGGAUUUAUUGCUUAAAUGAAUUCAGAUGGAACCUAUCAUGGCUGAAGGCGAAGACGAAGUCUUACUUCUUUUUCAGCAAGCACGUCAGUGGGAGCUUUGCAAAGGGAACAUUACUGCUGUGAUGAAUAACAGUCUCUCCAGAGAAACUGGUGUGACGCAGGCAUUUCAUCCUACUGAGAGGAACACCACGCCUGCCACCAACUGAUGCCCCUAGUAUUGCCUCUGAGGAAGAUGGACCUAUUUUAAUUCCUGUUCUGCACACUGUGAACUUGAAAGACGUGGUCAUAUUGAGAAGAAUUAAAGUGUGCGAACCUCUCAGUGUGCGUACAGAACAUCUUCUGGUGGUUGAGAAGUUGAGAACACAGCCCUCAGUCAAGAAGCUUCUUGGUUUAUAAUAAAGUAAGAACACAGCUAGUUCUGAGAACCCAACAGA